UUUAUAGGGCUUUAAGAAGUCUAGAAUUAAAGCCUCUAAUUGAUCAGGCUAUGACCUCAGAAAAUAUUAAGAAAAUCAUACAAACCCUUGAUAGUCAUAAAAUAGAUGUUAAAGCUUUGGAACCAAUUGCCUUUAAAGUCAUCUCCUGGGGUCCCAAUAUAUAAGUAAAUAACUGCUAUUCUAAGUAAUUUAGUAUUUUUUUAUAACUUAAAUAUUUUCAUUAAAGUUUUAAUAAGCAAUUGUGUGGUUUAAAUAAACGCUUACAUUAUUUGUCUGCAAAGUUUUCA